ACGGUAACAGGUUAAGCUGACGAGUGGCGAACGGGUGAGUAAUAUAUCGGAACGUGCCCAGUCGUGGGGGAUAACUGCUCGAAAGAGCAGCUAAUACCGCAUACGACCUGAGGGUGAAAGCGGGGGAUCGCAAGACCUCGCGCGAUUGGAGCGGCCGAUAUCAGAUUAGGUAGUUGGUGGGGUAAAGGCUCACCAAGCCAACGAUCUGUAGCUGGUCUGAGAGGACGACCAGCCACACUGGGACUGAGACACGGCCCAGACUCCUACGGGAGGCAGCAGUGGGGAAUUUUGGACAAUGGGCGCAAGCCUGAUCCAGCCAUGCCGCGUGCGGGAAGAAGGCCUUCGGGUUGUAAACCGCUUUUGUCAGGGAAGAAAAGGUUCUGGUUAAUACCUGGGACUCAUGACGGUACCUGAAGAAUAAGCACCGGCUAACUACGUGCCAGCAGCCGCGGUAAUACGUAGGGUGCAAGCGUUAAUCGGAAUUACUGGGCGUAAAGCGUGCGCAGGCGGUUAUGCAAGACAGAUGUGAAAUCCCCGGGCUCAACCUGGGAACUGCAUUUGUGACUGCAUAGCUAGAGUACGGUAGAGGGGGAUGGAAUUCCGCGUGUAGCAGUGAAAUGCGUAGAUAUGCGGAGGAACACCGAUGGCGAAGGCAAUCCCCUGGACCUGUACUGACGCUCAUGCACGA
rnacentral:rRNA from 1 species